UAAAUUUCCGUAUGUUCGGAAGUAUUCAAUUUUCUUCACCUGUUUACAAGUAUGACGUUCGUGGAAGGCGACAAACGUACGCACCACAAAUGGUAUAUCUAUCAAUCACUAAUUCGGACUGGAUUAAUAAUUUAUUACUCGAACAUAAAUAUAUCAGUAUAAUUAUUCCCAUUUUAUUGGGAUGUCGUUUAUUGAACACCCACCGAUUACACACAAAAAACUUAUAAGAACUUGAAAUGACAAAAAAACAAAGAAAGAAAGAAAAUGUUGAUCUAAGGGAGCUACCAUUUGAUUUUUAGGGGGGGGGGGGGGGGCUAGGAUGAAAUUUGAAAAAAAAUAGGCAGGACAGGAGUUUUGAGUAAAAAAAAAGGCAGGAUGAGACACUUGCAAAAAAAAAAGUCAGGACGACAAUUUAGGUAAAAAAAAGUCAGGAUAAACUAAAAAAAAAAAGGCAGGACCGAACAGAGUGAAAAAUAAAAAGGCAGGACAGAGAUUACAGCUAAAAAAAAAAAUGCAGAACAAAAUUUUUCAUCCUAGCCCCCCCCCCCCAUAAAAAUCAAAUGGUAGCUCCCUAAGUCGGGAGUUUAAAACUAUGGAAACGACACGGACAAAGAUAAGUGGUAAUUAAGGGGGUUAGAUAGCUACAUAAACAGUUAAUGCAUAAACCAUUUACUAAUGCCACUCCCUUAAGUUUGCAUCCCCUCCCCCUCCUCCCCAUGACCCUUUUUCCUUCAAAAUAAUGGAUCCGCACCUGGACAAUUAAUUGAUUGUAGGCAUCACGGAGAACCCUUGACAGAUCUUGCUAGCCGUGGAAAAUCUGUAGACCGUGCUUUAAUCUUGUGAUUAAGCACAAACAAAAGAGCA
rnacentral:lncRNA from 1 species